rnacentral:lncRNA from 1 species
CCGGUCAAACUUAGGUUAAUUUAUCUAGAUUAAAACACAAUUAUAAAAGUAGGCUGAAUUUUAUGUCUUCUACUAAAUAUUGGCCAACUAGGUGACAAAUUAUAACUAAGUAAAAAAUAAUGCAGUAAUCGGUAUCGGUUGACUUCUUAGCUAAUUAAAGUUUAGAAAAAUGUUUAAACUGUUUAAGGAUCUAAUUGGUUUAAGAAACUAGUUUUAGUUUGAUGAAACCAACAAUUCAAGACAUUCCUAAAAGAGAAAGAUUUUGAAAGAAACAUUUACUACGUUAGAAAUUGUUAAAGGAUAGAAAGACAGUUUUAACAUGUGUUCUUUAGAAAACAUCUUAUGUUUAUUAUCGUCAUUGGAAAAGUUUUGUCCAAAAGUUUUUGGGAGGGUCAUUUUAAGAAAAAAGUUUCUAAGUUCCUAUAUCUAAAGGCCACAUUUAUAUGAUUAAGAUAGUAUCGAAUGGACAAUAAGAGUAAACAUACUAUGCUAACACGAAUUUAACAUAUAAUCCCAUAAAUUGAGAUAAACUUAAAUCACACAAAUGAAUGUCAAAUAGCAUGAAUGAAAGACGCCAUAGGCGUCCCCAAACGUUCAGCUUGUUUUUCUCGCUAUCCGGUGCUCUAAGGAAGACGGUAUGCAACGACUCCAUGUGGCGGUGGUAGCGUUGAGUCUCUGUGAGACUCCACUGCGAGAGCCUCGAAUUAAGACUUCAUUUGCUCCAGAAUAUACAUGUAAAGAAAGAAAUAAAGAUAAAGAAUUAGAGCAGUGAACUAUUGAUUCUUUAAAAUUGAUACCAUUAACAGAAUAUGUAUUCAUUGCUACUUCUUUUUGUUCUCGUACCAUAAACCAUGGGGGGACGCAAUUUCAAUACAGCCAGGUUAACAUAUUAGAUAUACACAUAUCACUUCCUUUCCAUCAAUGUCCUAUAGACAUGAUACUACAUUCGCUAAUCCCAGAGUCAUGUUUUCUACAUCUUUUGCAGGGCAGCGAACUGAGGCGGGUCUUAAUGCGCUAUCGAACUUCGAUCUUGACUUUACUCCUUCCUCUCGAACAAAAGCAGACUCUACUAAAUAAAUAGAGGAUAACCAAAUUUCUACUAUGGUAAAUACCAAAUAGAAACAGUAGAGGUGUUGAAGUCAAAGGGUGAAUCUUAGAGAGGAGAAGAGCGGUCAAAUAUUUGGUUUCGAAGGGUGAAGGCAGCAACCCCGUCUCCUCCCCGAAAAUCUCUUCAGAGGUCAGUAUAUAUAAGCUGAUUUCUAGGGUUCUUGGUUCCUUUGAGCGGGAAUUUGAAAUUCAGAUUUCAAAAUAAGUCAAAUGUAUCCGUUUGAAUUUUAACGUUGCACCCUUUUGGAUGGAUUCGAUCAGAAGGAGAAAAGGAAAAGAGAUAUGUGAAAUCAGAAUCCCUAAUGCCAAAAAUAACAAAACUUGGCUGCUGUUUGCGAAAUUGGUUGUACUUGGAAACCAAAAAUAAGAAAAUAACAAUGGGAGAUUUUCAGAGUAAAGAAAGAGAUGGAGAAAAUCCUGAAAAGUUUGUCCAAGAGUCUGUAUGUUAGGAAUGAGGGGAUGGGGUACCGUGGGUCCCAGUCAACUUGGCGUUGGAAUUGAGGUUAUAAU